AAAGGUGAUUAUAUCAACAUAUUUCCCACAAAUUUUCAUAUUUUCCCCGUCUCUGAAAACCUUCUCUCCCUCCUUGAAACCCUCCUCAGCUCUCUGAAACACCCUCAUGAAACUCUCUACAAAAUCAUCAGAAAAUCGAUAUCAAUGAAGGAGUUGAGAGAUUGAGGUCUUCGCAGAUCCACAAGAUAGAGAGGGAGGUUCCGUAUUUGAGAAUCAAAGCUGGUUGGAUGGUGAAGAUCUCGAUCUCCACGCUCUUUAACGAUGAUCUCCAUCUCAGGCGUUCAACUCUCUCAUCAACCUCAGCGGCUUGGUCCGGUUAGCUCUCCAAUUUUGUAGUCGCCCUUGGCCCUCGCACUCCUCUGAACGUCCAAGCCCUAUAAUUGUCCUAAUCUCCUGAUAAUUGUGAAGAUCGAAACCCUAGCCUCCUACCUUUCGAAAGUCACUCCGCCGGUCGUGCUGGGAAACCGAUUGUGAAAUGGACUGAGGUGCAAAGUUGGUUGCAGAAUAGAGCGCAAGAGUUGCCAAACAUAUCCAAAAUAUCUCUGAGCAAUAGGGAAUUCACCCUUCGAAUGAGGCACUCAGAAGUUCUGAAGUACCUAGAGUUCUCUACAUGGAGCACUUGGUGUUGUCUUGUCAGCUACGGAUACUGUCCCUUCAGGUGCUUAAACAAACUGUUCUAUAAACCACUCUGUCUCAAGCUUCAUUUGUAAAGAUUGAUGUUAAUUUUACAAGCCAAGAAGACACGCUGUUGCUGAUACUGCCACAGGAGAGGGGAAUACAACAUGAAAAAUGUGCAAGAAGACAGAGCUAACUCACUUACUCAAGAACAAAUUGAUGUUCAUAUCGAAUUGGUAGAAUUUGUGAGCAAUCACAUGUAGCUUCAUUAUUUAGGUUAAUGUUAUCGAUGUGAUAGGAAGUAUGUAUGUGGUAGGAAUAAAGAUUGGUUAACUAUGUAAUAACUAUUGAAACUUCAAGUUUUAUGAAAGAAACAAUUUUUGAGUGUA